rnacentral:rRNA from 1 species
CCCGGGGGAAGGUUUACCGGACCCGGGGCGGACGCGGCCUAGUGGCGGACGGGUGAGUAACGCGUGGGCAAUCUGCCCCGUACCGGGGGAUAACACCUAGAAACAGGUGCUAACACCGCAUGACAGGCGGCGGCGCAUGCCCCGGCCUUGAAAACUCCGGUGGUACGGGAUGAGCCCGCGUCCGAUUAGCCAGUUGGCGGGGUAACGGCCCACCAAAGCGACGAUCGGUAGCCGGCCUGAGGGGGUGGACGGCCACAUUGGGACUGAGACACGGCCCAAACUCCUACGGAAGGCAGCAG